rnacentral:tRNA from 2 species
CCGGCGGACCGACUAACCUGCAUCUUCAGAUUUGCAAUCUGAUAUGUAUAACACCUCAAGACUUC